CAGUCGCCGCGGUAAUACAGAGGGUGCGAGCGUUAAUCGGAUUUACUGGGCGUAAAGCGUGCGUAGGCGGCUUUUUAAGUCGGAUGUGAAAUCCCUGAGCUUAACUUAGGAAUUGCAUUCGAUACUGGGAAGCUAGAGUAUGGGAGAGGAUGGUAGAAUUCCAGGUGUAGCGGUGAAAUGCGUAGAGAUCUGGAGGAAUACCGAUGGCGAAGGCAGCCAUCUGGUCUAAUACUGACGCUGAGGUACGAAAGCAUGGGGAGCAAACAGGAUUAGAUACCCCCGUAGUCCCUGUCUCUUAUAA
rnacentral:rRNA from 1 species